UGCUGGAGGUAUCAGAAGUGCGAAUGCUGACAUAAGUAACGAUAAAGCGGGUGAAAAGCCCGCUCGCCGGAAGACCAAGGGUUCCUGUCCAACGUUAAUCGGGGCAGGGUGAGUCGACCCCUAAGGCGAGGCCGAAAGGCGUAGUCGAUGGGAAACAGGUUAAUAUUCCUGUACUUGGUGUUACUGCGAAGGGGGGACGGAGAAGGCUAUGUUGGCCGGGCGACGGUUGUCCCGGUUUAAGCGUGUAGGCUGGUUUUCCAGGCAAAUCCGGAAAACCAAGGCUGAGGCGUGAUGACGAGGCACUACGGUGCUGAAGUGACAAAUGCCCUGCUUCCAGGAAAAGCCUCUAAGCAUCAGGUAACAUCAAAUCGUACCCCAAACCGACACAGGUGGUCAGGUAGAGAAUACCAAGGCGCUUGAGAGAACUCGGGUGAAGGAACUAGGCAAAAUGGUGCCGUAACUUCGGGAGAAGGCACGCUGAUAUGUAGGUGAAGCGACUUGCUCGUGGAGCUGAAAUCAGUCGAAGAUACCAGCUGGCUGCAACUGUUUAUUAAAAACACAGCACUGUGCAAACACGAAAGUGGACGUAUACGGUGUGACGCCUGCCCGGUGCCGGAAGGUUAAUUGAUGGGGUUAUCCUCGCGGAGAAGCUCUUGAUCGAAGCCCCGGUAAACGGCGGCCGUAACUAUAACGGUCCUAAGGUAGCGAAAUUCCUUGUCGGGUAAGUUCCGACCUGCACGAAUGGCGUAAUGAUGGCCAGGCUGUCUCCACCCGAGACUCAGUGAAAUUGAACUCGCUGUGAAGAUGCAGUGUACCCGCGGCAAGACGGAAAGACCCCGUGAACCUUUACUAUAGCUUGACACUGAACAUUGAGCCUUGAUGUGUAGGAUAGGUGGGAGGCUUUGAAGCGUGGACGCCAGUCUGCGUGGAGCCAACCUUGAAAUACCACCCUUUAAUGUUUGAUGUUCUAACGUUGGCCCCUUACCGGGGUUGCGGACAGUGUCUGGUGGGUAGUUUGACUGGGGCGGUCUCCUCCCAAAGCGUAACGGAGGAGCACGAAGGUUAGCUAAUCCUGGUCGGACAUCAGGAGGUUAGUGCAAUGGCAUAAGCUAGCUUGACUGCGAGCGUGACGGCGCGAGCAGGUGCGAAAGCAGGUCAUAGUGAUCCGGUGGUUCUGAAUGGAAGGGCCAUCGCUCAACGGAUAAAAGGUACUCCGGGGAUAACAGGCUGAUACCGCCCAAGAGUUCAUAUCGACGGCGGUGUUUGGCACCUCGAUGUCGGCUCAUCACAUCCUGGGGCUGAAGUAGGUCCCAAGGGUAUGGCUGUUCGCCAUUUAAAGUGGUACGCGAGCUGGGUUUAGAACGUCGUGAGACAGUUCGGUCCCUAUCUGCCGUGGGCGCUGGAGAACUGAGGGGGGCUGCUCCUAGUACGAGAGGACCGGAGUGGACGCAUCACUGGUGUUCGGGUUGUCAUGCCAAUGGCACUGCCCGGUAGCUAAAUGCGGAAGAGAUAAGUGCUGAAAGCAUCUAAGCACGAAACUUGCCCCGAGAUGAGUUCU
rnacentral:rRNA from 1 species